AACGAACGCUGGCGGCAUGCCUAACACAUGCAAGUCGAACGAGACCUUCGGGCCUAGUGGUGCACGGGUGCGUAACGCGUGGGAACCUGCCCUUAGGUUCGGAAUAACCCCCCGAAAGGGGUGCUCAUCUCGGAUAGUGUCCUCGGACCAAAGAUCUAUCGCCGUUGGAUGGGCGCGCGUUGGAUUAGCUUGUUGGUGGGGUAAGAGCCUACCGAGGCGACGAUGGGUAGCUGUUCUGAGAGGAUGAGCCGCCACACUGGAACUGAGACACGGUCCAGACUACUGGGGGAGGCACCAGUCGGGAAUAUUGCACAAUGGGCGCAAGGGGGAUUCAGGGAUGACGGGGGUAUGAAGAAGGCAUCAGGGCUGGAAAGUAGUUUAAGCGGGGAGGGAGGGAAUAAAGUUAAUCCCGGGGCUCAAUGACGUUACCCGGAGAAGAAGCACCGGCUAACUCCGUG
rnacentral:rRNA from 1 species